rnacentral:rRNA from 1 species
GACGAACGCUGGCGGCGUGCCUAAUACAUGCAAGUCGAACGGACAGACAGAGAGCUUGCUCUCUUGAAGUUAGUGGCGAACGGGUGAGUAACGCGUAAUCAACCUGCCCUUCAGAGGGGGAUAACAACGGGAAACCGUUGCUAAUACCGCGUACGAUUCAUGAACGGCAUCGUUUAUGAAUGAAAGGUGGCAUCUAUGUAUAAGCUAUCGCUGAAGGAGGGGAUUGCGUCUGAUUAGCUAGUUGGAGGGGUAACGGCCCACCAAGGCAAUGAUCAGUAGCCGGUCUGAGAGGAUGAACGGCCACAUUGGGACUGAGACACGGCCCAAACUCCUACGGGAGGCAGCAGUGGGGAAUCUUCCGCAAUGGACGAAAGUCUGACGGAGCAACGCCGCGUGAGUGAUGAAGGUCUUCAGAUUGUAAAGCUCUGUUAAUCGGGACGAAAGAGUUCUGCGUGAAUAAUGCAGAAAAGUGACGGUACCGGAAUAGAAAGCCACGGCUAACUACGUGCCAGCAGCCGCCGUAACAC